rnacentral:rRNA from 1 species
UACGAAGGGGGCUAGCGUUGUUCGGAAUUACUGGGCGUAAAGCGUGCGUAGACGGUCAUGUAAGUCGGGUGUGAAAGCCCCGGGCUCAACCUGGGAAUUGCAUUCGAGACUGCAUGGCUAGGGUGCGGAAGAGGGAAGCGGAAUUUCCGGUGUAGCGGUGAAAUGCGUAGAUAUCGGAAGGAACACCAGUGGCGAAAGCGGCUUCCUGGUCCAGCACCGACGUUCAGGCACGAAAGCGUGGGGAGCAAACAGG